rnacentral:rRNA from 1 species
GGUUGGGGAUGGGCUCGCGGCCUAUCAGCUUGUUGGUGAGGUAAUGGCUCACCAAGGCGUCGACGGGUAGCCGGCCUGAGAGGGUGACCGGCCACACUGGGACUGAGACACGGCCCAGACUCCUACGGGAGGCAGCAGUGGGGAAUAUUGCACAAUGGGCGCAAGCCUGAUGCAGCAACGCCGCGUGAGGGAUGACGGCCUUCGGGUUGUAAACCUCUUUUAGCAGGGAAGAAGCGAAAGUGACGGUACCUGCAGAAAAAGCGCCGGCUAACUACGUGCCAGCAGCCGCGGUAAUACGUAGGGCGCAAGCGUUAUCCGGAAUUAUUGGGCGUAAAGAGCUCGUAGGCGGUUUGUCGCGUCUGCUGUGAAAUCCGGAGGCUCAACCUCCGGCCUGCAGUGGGUACGGGCAGACUAGAGUGCGGUAGGGGAGAUUGGAAUUCCUGGUGUAGCGGUGGAAUGCGCAGAUAUCAGGAGGAACACCGAUGGCGAAGGCAGAUCUCUGGGCCGUAACUGACGCUGAGGAGCGAAAGGGUGGGGAGCAAACAGGCUUAGAUACCCUGGUAGUCCACCCCGUAAACGUUGGGAACUAGUUGUGGGGUCCAUUCCACGGAUUCCGUGACGCAGCUAACGC